UGGCUAUGGAUUCCAGAAGAUUGAAUCUC
rnacentral:piRNA from 1 species